UACGUAGGGGGCAAGCGUUGUCCGGAAUUAUUGGGCGUAAAGAGCUCGUAGGCGGUUUGGCGAGUCUGCCGUGAAAGUCCGGGGCUCAACUCCGGAACUGCGGUGGAUACGGGCAGACUAGAGUGAUGUAGGGGAGACUGGAAUUCCUGGUGUAGCGGUGAAAUGCGCAGAUAUCAGGAGGAACACCGAUGGCGAAGGCAGGUCUCUGGGCAUUAACUGACGCUGAGGAGCGAAAGCAUGGGGAGCGAACAGG
rnacentral:rRNA from 1 species